CCUACGGGCGGCUGCAGUAGGGAAUAUUAGUAAUGGGCGAAAGCCUGAACUAGCAACGCCGCGUGUGCGAAGAAGGCCUUCGGGUUGUAAAGCACUUUUUGAGAGGAUGAGGAAGGACGGUACUCUCAGAAUAAGUCUCGGCUAACUACGUGCCAGCAGCCGCGGUAACACGUAGGAGGCGAACGUUAUCCGGAUUUACUGGGCGUAAAGCGCGUGUAGGUGGUUUGGUAAGUAGGGCGUGAAAGCUCCUGGCUCAACUGGGAGAGGCCGUUCUAAACUGCCGAACUAGAGGAUGGUAGAGGGAGGUGGAAUUCCGGGUGUAGCGGUGGAAUGCGCAGAUAUCCGGAGGAACACCAGUGGCGAAAGCGGCCUCCUGGACCACUCCUGACACUCAGACGCGAAAGCUAGGGUAGCAAACGGGAUUAGAUACCCGAGUAGUC
rnacentral:rRNA from 1 species